CAGCUUGUUGGUGGGGUGAUGGCCUACCAAGGCGACGACGGGUAGCCGGCCUGAGAGGGUGUCCGGCCACACUGGGACUGAGAUACGGCCCAGACUCCUACGGGAGGCAGCAGUGGGGAAUAUUGCACAAUGGGCGCAAGCCUGAUGCAGCGACGCCGCGUGGGGGAUGACGGCCUUCGGGUUGUAAACCUCUUUCACCAUCGACGAAGGCCCGCUUUUUGGUGGGUUGACGGUAGGUGGAGAAGAAGCACCGGCCAACUACGUGCCAGCAGCCGCGGUAAUACGUAGGGUGCGAGCGUUGUCCGGAAUUACUGGGCGUAAAGAGCUCGUAGGUGGUUUGUCGCGUUGUUCGUGAAAUCUCACGGCUUAACUGUGAGCGUGCGGGCGAUACGGGCAGACUGGAGUACUGCAGGGGAGACUGGAAUUCCUGGUGUAGCGGUGGAAUGCGCAGAUAUCAGGAGGAACACCGGUGGCGAAGGCGGGUCUCUGGGCAGUAACUGACGCUGAGGAGCGAAAGCGUGGGGAGCGAACAGGAUUAGAUACCCUGGUAGUCCACGCCGUAAACGGUGGGUACUAGGUGUGGGUA
rnacentral:rRNA from 1 species